rnacentral:rRNA from 1 species
UACGGAGGGUGCAAGCGUUAAUCGGAAUUACUGGGCGUAAAGCGCACGUAGGCGGACGACUAAGUCGGAUGUGAAAUCCCUGGGCUUAACCUGGGAACUGCAUCCGAUACUGGUCGCCUAGAGUAUGGAAGAGGGAAGCGGAAUUCCAGGUGUAGCGGUGAAAUGCGUAGAUAUCUGGAGGAACAUCAGUGGCGAAGGCG